GGCCAUUCCAGAGCUGGAGAUAGAUGUGGAUGAGCUGCUGGACAUGCCCAGUGAUGUCGAACGGGCAGCCAGGGUCAAGGACUUACUGGUUGACUGUUUUAAACCUACUGAGGACUUUGUCUCAGAGCUGCUGGAUAAGAUCAGAGGGAUGCAGAAGCUUUCUACACCACAGAAGAAAUGAUGUCAUCCCUCCUUUCCCCUCAUCCCCAUCGCCACACACGCACACUC